AUGUUCAAGCGUUUCACUUCCUCCACACCAAUCACAGAGACCUGUUGGAUGCUUAGACAUUAACUUUUAACUUCUUUGAUUUAUUAAGUCCAGUGUGGCCUAUUCUAAGUCUGGAUAGUAUGUUUUCCUCUCUUCUAUUCCCACUUGUGGCUGUAUUGAAUACAUAUGUCUUCAUUUGUUUUCCAUUUCCCACUGAUGUUGCCAUCUUUGCAUUAUUUGUUAUUUUUUUUAUUUUUUUAUUAUUAUUGUUUUAAUUUCAUAUCUGCUAUAUGAUACUGUCAUUUCUAUACUGGUGUCCAUCACAGCUUGUUUCUCCAGUCUGUCUGCUGCUGCAUUAACUUUCACUUCCACACGGGCUGGAACCCACAUGAAUAUUACUCGCCCUUUCUACAAUUGCAAAAUUUCAACUAUUAAAUCUUGUCUGGUGACUGAAUAUUUUUCUUCAAUACUCAAGAGAGCAUAACUAGAAUCUGAGCAUACUAAAACCUCCUUUAAACCUGCUUCACUUAUCCACCUUUAAGCCAUGAUUAUUGAAAUUAACUCUCCUGAAAAAACUGAUAACUCAUUUGAAAUCCUUACUUUUCUGGAAAUGAGUAAUUUAGGAAUGACAUGCUAUAGCUACUUGAUCAUUAUCUGGAUUUUUCAAUGCAUCGGCGUACACUUGUAUGAAAUGUCCAUACUCUAUCCACAAAUAUUCCCUUACCCGGAUUUGCUCAAAUUCACUCAUUCCUUCUUUCUAUAACAUGUAUGGCCGGACACAGAGGUGAGUGAUAACCAGAUGGAGUUUAUUAAACAGAAUGAGGCAGACUGAGAGACGAACAGAUGACUAGAGAGUUGCAGGGAGGACGAGACGAGGGAAUCCACAGGAUGCACACGGAACUUGGAGACAGACGAUCUGGGAGGAGAUGAGGACACAAGGAGCAGAGACAGGAGAUCUGCUCCUCCUUCAGUGAAGCUCCUCCCACAACAAGCACACCUUCAGUGAAGCUCCUCCCACAACAAGCACACCUUCAGUGAAGCUCCUCCCACAACAAGCACACCUUCAGUGAAGCUCCUCCCACUGCAGUUCAGCAAUAAAUGCUGGAAUAUUCCCAUCAGUCUACAAUUGAAGACGAGCAUCAGAGCAUCAGGAAGAAGUGAAAUCUGCAGAGACAGAGUUUAUUGAAGGACAGAGAGAACAUGAGAGAUCCAGAACCCUGCAGAAUGAAACACACUGAAGAACAAACAGAUCUAAUGGAGAAACCACAUCAUGUCAAAAUUGGAGAAAAAACUCGCUCACAGACUGAAAGAGGAUCUUUACUGAAAAGAAAAGUCAAGAAAAGUUUCACCUGCACUCAGUGUGGAAAGAGUUUGACAAGCAAGAAGAAUCUCAAUGUUCACAUGAGGAUCCACACUGGAGAGAAACCGUUCACAUGUGAUCAGUGCGGGAAGAGUUUCACACAAUC